rnacentral:rRNA from 1 species
AUGUUGUUGCGCAGUUGGAGACUGGCUGCCGCAUCGGCAUUGGCCAACAACCCAUUUCCACAGCCAGGUCCACAGCAACCACAACUAGUGUCGAAGCAGCCACAAGAAUCGUUUCUGAAACAGCCGCAAGAAACAUUCCAUCCAUUACGUCAUCAACAGUUGGACAUGUGCAAAGUGUUCAUACAACAGUUGUGCACCCCUGUGGCAACACCACCAUUCCUUGAAUCACAGAUGUUGCCACAAAUCAACUGCCAACUGAGACGGCAGCAAUGCUGCCAACAACUCAACCAGAUCCCUAUGCCAUCCCUAUGCCAAGCCAUAUGUGCUCUAGUGCACACCAUCAUCAUCGUGAAGCAACAAGAGCAACGGCAACAACAGCCACAACCAAGACACGGUUCCCGCCAGCGUCAGCAAGAACAACUAGGCCAGUUUGAGGAGACGAUGAGCACUGCGCUGCAGACCCUGCCUACAAUGUGCGACGUGCACGUGAUGCCAUGUUGCAUCGUGGCCAGCAGCACCACCAUCCCGCCAGCCGGCGACAUCGUUGAGUGAUAA